AAAUAGACUACAUUUUUCAGAGUGUAUAAAGAGAAUUAAAUCUGUGGCUGGGGGGUGGCUCCCGGCAACCUGAGGGGAACACUGAAAGGCUCAUUGGCUCGUGAUGCUGAGAUCUAAACUUUGGAUUCAUUGGGCUGUUUGAGCCUCAGGAGUAUUACCUGGGCUUUCACAGUUUAGACUCAGCCUCAUAGCUCCUGUAUGCACCUUGAGAAAGAGAGAGGAUGGCAAUCGCUGAUGUGAGGUUCAUCAAUGGCCCAUGACAGCCUGUUCUGCCCUCAGGAUUAAUAGGUUAAUUGUGCACACAAGAUACUCUCUGGGGAUCCAGGAGAUUUGGAUUCAGUUACCAGCUUUGCUGUGGAUUCUGUGGAGUCUGACUUCUCUUGUCUGCAAAGUGGGGGUAAAGAACAAUUCCCUUUUCUGUCUUGUGUCAUUGGAUGUAAUGACUUCAAAGGAAAAAGAAACUCCUCUGGCAAAACAGACUGUCACAUCUCAAAGCUGCUUGGAACCAAGAAACACUUGCAAUAGAAUUCAACAAGCACUAUGGAGAACUCAGUGUCAAUCAGACAAGGAAAAACAGCGUGGGAUUCAGGACAGGACAAGAACAGAAUCCAAAACCAGGUGAUCCAAAUGGAAUGGAGAACUGCUGAGCACUCACCAGAGGCUUUUCUCUCAGAGAAGGCACUGACCUGGGUCUCUGUCCUUCGUGCAGCCCCCAGGUCGAAUAGGACAUGGAGGAAGAGCUUCCCUGGAAUCCUCAUCCUUCUCCAUCCUGGAUGAACUGGCACACGAGCUGGAAAGUGCUGUCUGGAGGAGAGGAAAGGAGUCUGACAGGCAGAGUGUAACCACAGGAGCUUCAUUUCCUCUGGAAAGCAGGCUUGGCAAAACACACACAGGCAAUUAUUUCUAGAGGGAUAUUUUUCUGUAGCUGCUAGAAGCCUAAAGAAAAGCUUUCACCCUCUUGAACUCCUCUUACUGUACAGUUUGGGCAUUUAUGUGCAUAUUGAAGUCUUAUUAUAAUAGGCACAAGUGAUGGGUUGAACCAGGACCUUAGUACUCCAGCGUGGUCAGGUGCUGCUCUGCCAAGAGCAGCUAUGAAGGUGUUUGCCUUCGUUGAAGCAAUGGGGUCUCUCUCCAUGGGUGCAGCAGCCCACCUGUACCCCAGGAGGGGGGCUGUGCCCAGGGCCCAGCCUAACGCCCUACUCACGGAGACCAUGAGGAAUGCUGCUGCUUCCUCAGAAAACCAAAGGCUGUUGCCACAAAUGCCAGGGUAGUGUGCAGCGCUUGCAAAAGCCUCUGCCAGAGGACCCAGGCAGAAGGGACCAUGCUGUACCUCUACUUCAGAAUUAUUUUUAUUCAUACCUGUGCAAGGAAAAGACAGAAAUUUGCUGUUAUUUUUAACCCCACUCGACUUUAAGUUGGAAGGGGUGGGUAUAACCCACACAGCACAAAACCACAGGCCAUACAACAUGAUACAUAAAUGAGGCUGUGGGACUGAGUUGGAGAUGUGGAGAGGCAGCAACACUGCUGAAGGGGUGCGUAUGGACCCUUGGCGGGCUCAGAGCCAUCGCUGCCCAACAUGGCUGCACGAAUGCCACAUCCAUGUGGUGUGAGCAGGGCUGGGGUGGGCACCCCAUCCAUGCAGCUCAGUCAACCAACAGCCUUCAGGAGGGAUCACUCUAUCUGGAUUCUGCAGAGCUUCUUUCCCUAUUUGCUUAAACCAGAAGCUGCACUUCGUUUAUGUGUGAACCACAAACAAGAAGUGAAGUUUCAACACAAGUUCUUGGGUGAAAUGAAGCCAAUCACCCCGAGUUCACUGCCUGCAGCAUGCUCUCCCUCUCAAAGUGGAAUGUAGCUUUGGAAGGGUAGCACCUUAUCAUAAACCAAGCUAUUGUUGUCUGUGUUUGAGUGCAAGCAGAUUAGUGAUGAAUCAGCUUUUUAUAAAUGCCUGUUUUCAUCCUUUCCUUAUCCCUCACUUAUGUCUUGCUUUUAAGACAGAUGGUGUAACUUCCUUUGCAACUUCAGUUCCCAUUGCUCACUUCUUGUCUUGCCACUGGGGAGCACUCCCAGGUAGGGCAGCUCAUAAAUAAAUCUUUCCUUACAUUUGCUCAGUGACAUGUGCAGCCUAUAAAGAAUCCAGCAAUGUUGAAUAAGGAGCCAAUUCAAGCUGGUGACCCAUAAGCAUGAACUGAAUACACUGAAUAAAGACAGCUGGGUUAUACGUUCUCCUAUUGUAAAACAUGCUUUAAAUUAAAAUAAAUACAUUAAAUGUGAACUUAGAUAUGAUCCAAAACAAAACCCAUAGUAAGAAUUCCCAGAUACACAAAGCUAGCAGUCAGCUGCUUAAACAGGGUGAGUAAAUCAAUAAGUAAUUGUCAUUUCAAGAUUAAACUGUGUAAUAUAAUGAAAUUUGAUGCAUUACAGAAGACCUUGAUACAAUCUUUGUUCCAAAUUCAUUGUUCUGAAGUAGUAUUUCAAAGUUCCUUUUUCCGAAAGUAAAGAUGAGUGUAAUUUGCAAUAUAUUUCUGCAAAUGGCUUAUGCAGCUCCUCAGGACUUGUAUUGUUAGGGUUGUGUUAAAAAAGCCUAUAUACUGCAGAGUAAGGAUUUUUUUAUAGUAUGGAGCCCUAUUAAAAGAUAAGCAUUUCUUCCCCACAGAAGGUCAUGGGAACUGUUUUCCUUAGAGCCCUGCCCAGGAGUUUCUAGUUAUAUAGCAGCCAUUUUCUUAAAAUGUCUGUUUUCUGUCAAGGAAACUUAGCACAUCUUUAACUGUCAGAAAUGUCUAUACAAAUAUGCACUAUAGCAGAACACAAAGUCUGUAUACGUUUGCUAAUAACAUGCUCUGACUUCACUGAUAAAGGCAAGCUUAUCAAGUCCUAGAGUUACCAGUGUCAUCAUUAAGGAGCCUUGCACUUGGCCACAGCUGACCACAGGGGAUUACUGCAGGAAUAAUAUUAUCUCUUCUCUCACCUUAGGGUUAGGCUGUGGUACGUGUCAUUGCAUUUGUUAUUACUGUGUUAUUCUGCAUAGUGCCUGUUACAGCAGGAAGUCAUGGGGCAUCUUUUCUUAAUUGCAAAAACCAGUCCAGCCAAGAGAGAGGAGCCAGACCUUGUGGGGUCCCUUCUCACGUCAGCACAAAGUCACUGCUCCAUCCUGGCAGCCACUCAGCUGCUCCGUCCUUCCUACACUGAAACUUACACGCUCCACCAUGGCAUCCAAGCACAUCUCCAUCUGGAGGUCCCCACUGGGAUUAGCUUCUCAUGUGCUCGCUUUCUUUCACCCUCUUCCAGUGCAUACAAUGAUUUGAAUUUUAUAACAACACACACAUGUUAUUAUACAUUUAAGAGAAGGUGACAUAAAAGAAAAAGAGUUUAUAGUGAGGGCAGAACGUCAUGAGGUAUUUCCUGAGGAAGUUCAUGCUACUGUCUUAGAGCUGCUAAAUAUUGUUGUUCUGAGGAGUUAAAUCUUCAGUAACCUCAGGAGUUUAUGUAAAUUUAUGUUAUGUGUUGUACUCUUUAACCGAUGUUUAGUAUGCAGUAUGAGUUAUUUGGCUGGGAUUUGUAUGGCAACCUAGUGACAGGAGAGCAGAAUACAGACUGUAAAUUUAUGGUACACAAAAGUUUCUGAAGUUCCCACUUGAAAAGGCAGAGUUCUGCGGUACGGCACGGGCACCCUUGGAUACGCACUGUCCUGAGGCGCACUGCUGAACCCACCCCUUUCAGUUUGUACAGCAAGUCAAUAAAGCCUAAAUACCAGUUUAGGUGCUAACACAUUUACUGCUGUUACUGGGCUUGAGAGACAGCUACUGAGUUUGCAGCUAGGGAUAGGUGGAACUGGAAAAAUUUGUCCUGUGACUGCUGAGAGGUCCAAGAAGUGGCAGAAGGCAGGGAAGAUGGGAGAGAUCCUGGGCUUCAACGGUGGUCUAGAGAGAAGGUCCAGCCAAGGAGUCAUUUGCUUUGUCAAGAGACAGGACCCCACCAGGAAGCACAGGAGAGAUGAACAGGCAGAGAAAGGGAGGUCAGGCUCAAAGCACGGACAAAAUCAUGGAGAAAAAAGAAAGAAGCAGGAGUAGGGAGAAGGAAAACUGAUGUGGUAAUGAAGUAGAGAUCACUCAAGCAUUGUUCUAUAGAUGGUCAGGUUCCAGGUGCUACCUUUAAUACAGGAUGAAGCCAUUUACGAGAAGCAGGGAUAUAUAGCGUGGAGGUAGAGUAGAGCAUUUUGGCACAACAGCAAGGGGGCAGUUUUGUAAUCCUGCAAGAAAUUUCAUAUAAAUGAGCUAUAUACUCCCUUUCUUGUUAUUGCAAACAAUAAGACAGAUGUCCAAUAAGUGUCUGCUUUUACAGGGCACUCUUUGAGGGACACCCCAGGAAAUCACAAAACAGAAUAAGCACUAGAAGGAGCCGGGUGGAGCUGCCUGUUUAGAGAGCAAAACAAAGGAGCCCUAAGAAUGACAUGGGGAAAAUCCAAAAGGAAUCAGAAACCCAGGAGUAGCUGGAGGACGCAUCCAAACCAGGAUGCAGAGAGGUUGGAGAGCAGGCCAGGCAAGGCAGCGGAAGCUGGGACUCAUCACCAGUAUGUCUGAGAUAUUUCCAUGAAGCUUAUUUUUACUUAUAGGGACUAAGGAGCUGCUGCUCUGGAUCACACUCGCAGUCCAGCACCUUCUGUGGAAGAACAUCCAGAAGCCAUGGCCAUGGAGGAACGAAGCCUGAAGUUGACAUUAGGGAAAAGAUGUUGCAAGGAAAGGUUUCCCCAGGAGUGAGGUGACAGGAGUGAGACAUCACUUUGACAUGGAAAGAUUUAGAGCAAUUCUGGACACCCAUAAAACAUGAUGAUUUGAGAGAUCUGCAGAUAUUCUGCAAGUUUUUUUUGUGCUGGUGGUUUUUUCCUUUGUAAAUGUAGAUGCUCACUGUGGCUGCUGUACCACAAGUCAAAGCUCAUGCAGAUUUCCUUGAAGAGAAUCUUUCCCAAACUCUCUGCUAGGAUGCAUAACUUCAUCGGUUCCCCAAGUUUGGGAUCUGAGUUUGGGACUUCUGCCAGAAAAUGUAAUGCCUAUUUGCAUUCAACCUAUCCAUUUUAGUGUGCAUACAAGCUGUCCUCUGCUGUCAGGGACUUCAGCAAGAAUUGUUGCUUAACAGCGUCUUUGGAAAUAUCAAGUCAUACAUAAGCUAUGAAAUAGAUUGUUAUUGUUAUAUGGAUAUUUUUAACACAUUUGAGCACUGAGCAAUUAAUACAAAUGUAUUUUGAUUCCUAUUAGCUAAAUCCCUUGGUAUCUAGCGUGCUUUCUCUCCAGCUUUUGUAGUCUAGCAGGAGAUAUAAUUUGUACCAGACCGUCCAGGACAAGGGAGCAAGAAACAAGCUAUAUAUUGCAUAUCUUUUCUUGUUACUUCUCACUGCCACAGUGACCUUUAUCUCUGCUGUGAAACUUCACAUCCAAACUUCCUCCCCAGUACCACAGGAUGCUGCGAGUACUAACUAAAAAAAAUGCGGGAGAAAAAAAAACAAGGAGAGCAGUUAAAUGGUGAUUAGCAAGGAAACAAGGGAAAUAGGAAUAGCUGUUACAUUGCUGGUUCUUACCCCAGCAAGACCACUAUGAGAGAAUAUUAUAUCUAGUAAUGGUCCUUGUCAAGCUUAAUGGAUUGUAAGUACCUCAGCUGUUCCUUAUAUAGAUACUUUAAGUUCACUUUGUAAAACCACGAGACAGAUAUACUAAACAAGUACCUCUGGCCAUCUGCUCGUCAUCACUGCAGCUCAUGACUGGCCUUGCAUGGCGUUGGUGUCCAUUGUGUCCGUGCUCAGCCCGGCCCUUCUGGUCAGGAACACGGAGGCACAGAAACUCCCCCGGCUAGGAGGCAUCUUCAGACAUGCGGACACUUCCCCAGGACCAGCGCCGCAGUGUGCUGGUGUUUUGUUACUGCAGGUGGCCAAUGCUUUUCCAGGCAGUCCUAUUCCUCGGGGGAAUAUUGUAUUUUUAAUGCCACUCAGUUCUCACAGUGAUGGCUUUAUCUGGAACAAGUUGACUCCUAGAAACUAAACAAACCAGAAUCUUUUUAAGCUUUGCCAUUCCCAAAUUGCUGUUAUAUUGAGCCCUGUGUUUCUGUCCCCCUAGGUCCUGCCCAGCUCCCCAGGUCCCUUGCAACAGGCAUGAGAUAUGCGAGCCACAGCACCUAUAAGUUACUACAGUAGAAUAUACUUAUCUAAAUGACUGGUUUUCAGCAAAAAUAAGGAUAAAGGCUUUUUUAAAAAAUAUAAAUAAUUGAUUUUUGUGCUGUUAUUUAGUUCUCUACCUGCUUGUUGGGUAUCAGCAUUUCAAACCCCACCACCACAGUGGGUGCAGGGCGUUACCACCAGUAGAAGAAGAACAUGACACCAUGCCCAGAAAUACAAUCCUUAAAGCAAGGGUUACCUCACUGAAUAUUUUGUGCUUUUUGUUUUGCUUUCUGCUUAGCAAUUAGAAAGUGCCCUUUGUUUGUGUUUCGACAGAAUUAUUGUAGUAGGACUCUCUACCAAAAAAGGCAAGAAAAGAGCUUUCAUGCCAGUCAGGUUUUGUCUUUUUAUUUUUCUAGUAAUGACAGAGUCACAAAACAGGAGUAUUUCAGAUAUGGGCAAUCUGGAGUUUGCUUAAACAGGAAUGAAACAAAAUGUACAAGUGACAACUUGCUUUUGUAACAAAGAUUACCUCAAACCCAGGAAACAUUGCACAGUAGACCUCUCCUUGUUUACAUUUCAAAAUAAUUGCUAAAAUACCGCUUCUCACUUCUAGAAAAUACCUGGCACGUGUAUCCCUCUGGGUCUGCCAGAGGGGUCUGUCCUGGGUCUGCCCUGCUGACUUUUCAGACCUGAGCUGCUGGGCAUGUUUGUUGGUGGUUUCUUUCCCCGUUUGCUGUGGGUCUGGAAGGAAAAGGUGGAGCAGCCGGGCACAGGCAGCUCCGUCCCACCCCCCACCACAGCCGAGCCCCCGGAGCCGGCUAUUUUCUCAUCGUCGCAUGACUAAUACAACCACAGGCACUUGAACUAUAUGGGAAUUGUUCCAGCCACUAUUCAGAGGGCAGCAGCAACCCUUCUGCUGUGGAGGGUCUUAUGAUUUCUUUUAUUUAUUUUUUUUCUUUCAUUGAAGAGUUUGCUGGCACCAUCAGUGCAGAGCAAGACAGUCCCGAAACCUGGCACCACUGGAAAAUAACUCUUCUUGAAUCCUUGAUAGACCUUGAAUUUCAUUCCAGCACAGGCCACGCUGGUGACAGUGACUGUCUGUGCAUUUUUCUCAAGCACAUUCUCUAGUCAAGCUCUGCAAAACUGGCUGAACUGAUCAUUUCAUGGUUCCUGUACCAGAGCUCACAAGACAGACGGUGAAGCCUUGCUAGGCUGUGCCAUGCGUUCCACAGCAAAACACCAGCAGCACGUGGUAGCGGCUCACAAGGUUGGUAAGAGCCAUUUUAACUCCUGCAUGUGCUGACUCUGCUUUUUUUGGGUUCUCCUCCAGUUGGCCUGGAGCCUGCAAGCCCCUGAGCAGGGUUAACCAGCUCCCUGCUGGGGCUCUCAUUAGGAGCAGCUGAGGCGUUGCUGUUUCCUCUGUGCCUCUUUUUACAUCUGUUUCUGUGUUUCUGAGAAACCUUGCCAAGAACACCCCAAUUUAUUUAACUCUCACGUCGGAUUUGAUUUGAAGCUUCUCAGUCUCUCACUCUCGGGUCUGGCUAGAUCACUGGAGCAGAAGUCACAGGAUUUCUGAAAAAGAAAUAAAAUUGCUGAUUAAACAAAACUGUUGAAAAUAUCUGAGAAUUAAUUUACAGACUAGAUGUGAUAGUUCCCCAAAAUGGCAUCUUUCCAACUGCAGUGUCCCUAUCACUCCAGUCAAUGAUGGGACAGAUUAGGUGCUGAAUUCCUGUCAGCUGAUACAUUAGAGCAUUUUUAUUUAUGAGAAAUGUUGCAAUUUGGUAGGCUUUGACCAUUCCUUUGAACUUUGCACGUUCACAUUGCCUGAUUUUGGCAAGUUUGCACCUCAGUGAAUAGCUGUGUGCUGUUCAAAACCUACAUGACCACAGCAAUGAUACCUUUUAUUUAUAAAUGUCACCCACACAUGCUUCAGCUACACAAGAUCUGGUAAACUGAGAAUGCUAUUACACUUCAGCAUGAGAAGAGGCACAGCGCUGGACUCGAUCAGGGCGGUGAAGGUGUUCUUCAUGUUUCAAUUUCAAUGCUGUAUGACUGAAAGCUUGAUAAAAAUCCUAUCUCAACAACAAAAACUUAACAGCCAAUUAAUUACUAACAUUGUCACAAAUGACUUCUAAAUAAAGGAGAAUGUGGCUGUCUUCAAGGCUGACAUUUUAGGUAUGAAACUCGGUUUGAUGGCAGAGAUCCUCCUCCCCGCCCUGCGAUGCUCCCUGUGCGGGCCAGCCCGGCUGCUGGCGCUGCGCCUCGCCAGCACAGCGGGAGCCCAGCUCUGCAGAACCUCUGAGCGGUGCUACUCACACAGCCCAUGGCUGAUGUCUGCAGGUCAGGAGCAGCACUAGCUAGUCUGUAAGAUAAAUAUGUCAGUGAGCCAUACAGAAACACAGAAAAGUCUUCACAGAAAAGAGAGUUGAAAGAAAUUUCUGG